rnacentral:rRNA from 1 species
UACGUAGGGGGCAAGCGUUGUCCGGAAUCAUUGGGCGUAAAGAGCGUGUAGGCGGCCCGAUAAGUCCGCUGUGAAAGUCCAGGGCUCAACCCUGGAAUGCCGGUGGAUACUGUCGGGCUCGAAUCCGGAAGAGGUGAGUGGAAUUCCUGGUGUAGCGGUGAAAUGCGCAGAUAUCUGGAGGAACACCGGUGGCGAAGGCGGCGUUCUGGACUGCAACUGACACUGAUGAACGAAAGCCAGGGGAGCAAACGGG